CAGCCACCGUUACUCUGCCAC
rnacentral:miRNA from 1 species